AUUGAACGCUGGCGGCAUGCCUUACACAUGCAAGUCGAACGGCAGCACGGGUGCUUGCACCUGGUGGCGAGUGGCGAACGGGUGAGUAAUACAUCGGAACAUGUCCUGUAGUGGGGGAUAGCCCGGCGAAAGCCGGAUUAAUACCGCAUACGAUCCACGGAUGAAAGCGGGGGACCUUCGGGCCUCGCGCUAUAGGGUUGGCCGAUGGCUGAUUAGCUAGUUGGUGGGGUAAAGGCCUACCAAGGCGACGAUCAGUAGCUGGUCUGAGAGGACGACCAGCCACAAUGGGGCUGAGAUACGGUCAAGGCGCAUACGGGAGGCAGCGGUAGGGAAUGUGGCGAAAUGGGCGAAAGCCGGACGGAGCAACGCCGCGUGAGUGAUGAAGGUCUUAGGAUCGUAAAACUGGGUUAGGAGGGAAGAACAAAUGUGUAAGUAACUAUGCACGUCUUGACGGUACCGAAUAAGAAAGACACGGCUAACUACGUG
rnacentral:rRNA from 1 species